AGUGAACGCUGGCGGUAGGCCUAACACAUGCAAGUCGAACGGCAGCACAGUAAGAGCUUGCUCUUACGGGUGGCGAGUGGCGGACGGGUGAGGAAUACAUCGGAAUCUACUUUUUCGUGGGGGAUAACGUAGAGAAACUUACGCUAAUACCGCAUACGACCUACGGGUGAAAGCAGGGGAUCUUCGGACCUUGCGCGAUUGAAUGAGCCGAUGUCGGAUUAGCUAGUUGGCGGGGUAAAGGCCCACCAAGGCGACGAUCCGUAGCUGGUCUGAGAGGAUGAUCAGCCACACUGGAACUGAGACACGGUCCAGACUCCUACGGGAGGCAGCAGUGGGGAAUAUUGGACAAUGGGCGCAAGCCUGAUCCAGCCAUACCGCGUGGGUGAAGAAGGUCUUCGGGUUGUAAAGCCCUUUUGUUGGGAAAGAAAAGCAGCAGGUUAAUACCCCGCUGUUCUGACGGUACCCAAAGAAUAAGCACCGGCUAACUUCGUG
rnacentral:rRNA from 1 species